GAGCUACGCGGACGCCAUCCGGGCCGACGUCGCCGGGGCGCGCCUGGAGCACGAGAGCUGCCGUGACGCGGUGGAGAGGGCCGAGCGGGACCUGGACGAGCGGCUCCGAGGGGAGUUGGCGGGGAUGCACGGAAUCCGAGAAGAGUCCGCGGCCUUGGAGGACAUGCUGCGGGCGGCGGCGGACAUCGCCGGGCGACUGGAGAGCUCCUCGCGAGCCCUUCAGUCCUCCUUCACCAGCCGGCUGCGGGACGCCAUCCAAAUCCAGGUUUAAGACCCGACGCUUACCCGGACUCGAUCCCGCCGCCGGCACCGAGCAUUUGCCGCCCUUCCCGAAGAACCGCGCAACCAAGAGCCUGCCGGCAGCCCCCUGCCAUGUUUUGCACCCGCGCCCGAUUCCGGCAGUCGGGAGAGGAAACGGGCGCUUGCGUGCUUGCCACCGAGGCCGGGACGCACGUGACAUAACCUGCGUGAUUAAAGAGCUCAUCAGGAA